rnacentral:rRNA from 1 species
UACGUAGGGGGCAAGCGUUGUCCGGAUUUAUUGGGCGUAAAGCGCGCGUAGGCGGCUCGGAAAGUCGGAUGUGAAAACCCGGGGCUCAACCCCGGGCCUGCAGUCGAUACGGGCGAGCUAGAGUUCGGCAGGGGAGACUGGAAUUCCUGGUGUAGCGGUGAAAUGCGCAGAUAUCAGGAGGAACACCGGUGGCGAAGGCGGGUCUCUGGGCCGAUACUGACGCUGAGGAGCGAAAGCGUGGGGAGCGAACAGG